UACGUAGGGUGCGAGCGUUGUCCGGAAUUAUUGGGCGUAAAGAGCUUGUAGGCGGUUUGUCGCGUCUGCUGUGAAAAUCCGGGGCUCAACCCCGGACUUGCAGUGGGUACGGGCAGACUAGAGUGUGGUAGGGGAGACUGGAAUUCCUGGUGUAGCGGUGAAAUGCGCAGAUAUCAGGAGGAACACCGGUGGCGAAGGCGGGGUCUCCUGGGCCGUAACUGACGCUGAGGAGCGAAAGCGUGGGGAGGCGAACAGGA
rnacentral:rRNA from 1 species